UCAGAAGCUUAUCAGUUGUAUGUGUUUUCGAAGACAGUUAUCAAAAAUGAUUGUACAAUAUGCCAAUCUGGAAGCUUCAACGUAUGUAGAGAAUAAUACUAAAGUUAUACAAUUGUUGAGCAACCAAAAAUGUCAACCUUGAGUCAAAAACAUUUUUUUUUAUUAGUUUCAUUUAAAAAAAUUAAAAAAUAUUUUUCUAUAACAUUCAGCAUAAGUAAGCAAUAUAUAUCACAAUAUUUAUUUUACAAUACUUCACACAUACUUUAGUCAGACGCCUGUUUGGAGUAUAUUCUUUUUAUGCAUCGCAAAAUAACAAUAUUUCAAAAUUAAGCUUAAAGAAUUUAAUUUUUAUAUGAGAAUACUUCUUCCUUCUCCAUCCUAUAAGUUAUCCAAACCAUGGAGAUAACUCUCCGUGAAUAUAGACAGAACCUUAACAUCCAAUCUUGCUGUCAAAGAAUGAAUUGUGGCCAUAUAGAUUUUACGAAGACAAUAUAGUGGGGAGCAGGAAUAGUACAGAAAUGUCCCUACUUGUAAACAUGGACACGAUAUUAAAAAAAAAGAAAAUUGGUUACAAAAAAUAUUGCCCAAUAGUUAAUACAAAUUUCAGAGCUCUUCGAGGCACUUUCAACUGAGCUGUGAGCUGAAUUGUCUUUGAUCAGAUCCGUCUGUGGAACCACUUUUUGCUAGUUUCCGAGUCAAUUUCUGAUUUGCACUUUUCUUUCAUUCAGAAGUGUUCUUUAACUAUUAGGCUUAAUGUGAACCAUUUGCCUUUUUGGGUAUUUUUAUUAUACUAUCCAGCUUUCCUCAAGCGGGGAUGACGGACAAUCGAUGCAAUCCAUUUUGACAUUCUUUUCUGUAGGCCAAGUAAUCUUCAAUCGAUCCUGAUCGACCAUCUCCGAUUUUGCUGAAACUUUUCACAGUUGCUCCGUUUUGAUAAUAAAAUCAUUAUAAGAUA